GUGUGUCUGUGUGUGUGUGUGUGUGUGUGUGUGUGUGUGUGUGUGUGUAUGCAUGUGCCUGGGCACUUGUGCUUAUCUUAGAGAGAGAGUGAGAGACAGGAAAUAGCUUUUGUUCUUUCAGUAGCCCAGGUUUAAAGCAAGGGUUAAAGUUUAAAGUUUUUCUUUGAUUUCAUUACUUUUAAGGUGGUCUUUCUUAACACAAGAUAAUUAAGCAAUAAUACCCUAAAGCAUGCAUUUUGUGAUAAUUAAUUAGUAUCUGUCUCUCCUAUGGCUCUUGAAGGAUACUAGCUCUGUGCCACUCUUGGGAGAAUUGGAAAAAUAGCCACUUGAAUAAUUUUGUGUUAUGUGGUUUAGAAAAGUAUUCCUGUUGAGAAAGUAAGAAAAUGUGUCUAUGUUCUUAGUUACCUUUUAAUUUUUAUUUUACUAAGCUUCAUCCCUCCCUGACAAACAUCUUUUUGUUCACAAGAAGAAUAUUGUGGUUUACAUGACUUCCUACUACCCACGUGGUUUUAAAGAGUCACCGAAUGUUUGGGAAAUGAUGAAACAAAAGCUGAGUAAAUUUUGAAUCACUCUUCAAAGGCAGCUUACCUCUAGUUUGGAGGUAUGCUGUAAAAACAACAAUAACAUUUUAAUAUUAAAGUUAAACAAAGUUACAACUUUGAAAAGAGGUUCUGGAAGAUAUGACACAAAGCAUCCAGAUGAAAACGCUGGCUAAAGGGGUGACGAAAAUUGAGAACAACAGCCCGGGGACUGAUAAAAAGAAGCAAGGUUGCUGCCUCCUUUUCAUGACUAUGUGGUGCUUUACAACAGGUCUUAUGUGCAGAUAUAAAAAGCAUAUUGUAUGUACUUUAUUCAUAUUGACAAUCAAUGUAGCAGUGAGUACAAUAGUUUUAUCAGUUAAGUGUCGACAAAGUUUUUGCCCAGAUGGUUGGAUUGGUUUUCAAGACAAAUGUUAUUAUUUCUCUGAAAAAGAAAGGGAUUGGGCAUCAAGUAGAGACAACUGUACUGCUGCAUAUGCUGAUCUAACUACGAUUGAUACUGAUAAGGAAAUGAGUGCAAGUAGAAGAGCUUGAUAAUAUUUGGAAACCUUAUAUUCCACCAAGAAAGGAAGAUCUCCUCAGGAAGAAGGCAUAACCCCAUUUUACUCCCUUUGAGGAAAUUUAUUCUCCAUCUUGCUUUGCUGUCUGUCCCUGAGUUCUCAUGGCAGCCUCCAUCAGAACACUCUCUGCCAGUAUUGCAAUAGUGAAAAGAAAAGUUUCCCCCAGACCAAAGUAUGAGUUUACAAGGAACAGACACCACGUCUUGUCUGAAAUUAUAUCCUUGGCUAUAUCACACAAAGUCAGGUACAAAUGAAAAGGCUAGUGGAUCCUGGUGGAAUAAAUAUUGAUUUAUAUGACAAAAUUCCUAUGAGUAAGAAGACUCUUCAAGAAAUUUAACAAGGGAUUAUAAAAUGGUACCUAUAGAUUUGAGAAAUGUGUUCUUUCCCCUACUCCCUUAUAUGUAGGUACAAAUGCGGUUCUGAUCAUUGGAUUGGGCUGAAGAUGACAAAAAAUCA